rnacentral:rRNA from 1 species
AUUGAACGCUGGCGGCAGGCCUAACACAUGCAAGUCGAACGAGUGGCGGACGGGUGAGUAAUGUCUGGGAAACUGCCCGAUGGAGGGGGGUAACUACUGGAAACGGUAGCUAAUACCGCAUACCAUCGGAUGUGCCCAGAUGUGAUUGGCUAGUAGGUGGGGUAACGGCUCACCAGGGCGACGAUCCCUAGCUGGGUUGAGAGGAUGACCAGCCAACCUGGAACUGAGACACGGCCCAGACUCCUACGGUAGGCAGCAGUGGGGAAUAUUGCACAAUGGGCGCAAGCCUGAUGCAGCCAUGCCGCGUGUAUGAUGAAGGCCUUCGGGUUGUAAAGUACUUUCAGCGGGGAGGCGUUACUCGCAGAAGAAGCACCGGCUAACUCCGUGCCAGCAGCCGCGGUAAUUC